rnacentral:rRNA from 1 species
AUGGACGUCACCGCUGGGGCGAUGAUCCCUAUCCUCCAUAAGCUCGGUGAGCUGCUCAUCGGAGAAUACAACCUGGACAAACGAGUAAAGAAAGGUGUAAACUCGCUCCUUACAGAACUGGAGAUGAUGCACACCGUACUUCGUAAGGUUGGUGAGGUGCCAUCGGACCAGCUCGAGGAGCCAGUCCGAAUUUGGGCCGGCAAGGUGAGAGACCUCUCUUGCGACAUGGAAGAUGUUGUUGAUGACUUCCUGGUGCGUGUGGAUGAGGGCUCAAACAGCAAGCCAACGAACAUGAGGAAUCGAGUUAAGAAAUUCCUCAAGAAGACCACCAAACUGUUUGGUAAGGGCAAAGCACUUCAUCAAAUAUGUGAUGCCAUUGACGAAGCUCAGGUUCUUGCCAAGGAGUUGGGGGACCUGCAUAAAAGGUAUAUGCUUGACAUGCCUAACACUAGCAACAGUGCUACCAUUGACCCUCGUGUGUUAGCUCUGCACAAAGAUGUAGGGGAGCUUGUUGGUGUUGACCGCACAAGGGAUGAGCUUAUCAAAACACUGAUUUGUGAGGAUGGGAGUUCCAAGGAGCAACUAAAGAUGAUCUCUAUUGUUGGAGUUGGUGGGUUGGGCAAGACAACCCUCGCCAAAGCAGUUUAUGAAAAGAUUAAAGCCCAGUUUGAUUGUGUGGCCUUUGUCCCCGUUGGUCAGAACCCAGAUAUCAGGAAAGUUUUCAAGGACCUACUCUAUGGCCUCGACAAAAAGAAGUUUAUGGACAUUCAUAAUACAAUAAUGGAUGAGAGGCUUCUCAUCGAGGAAAUCAAUGAAUUCCUUAUGGACAAGAGGUACCUCAUCGUAAUUGAUGAUAUAUGGAAAGAAGAAAUAUGGAGAUAUAUAGAUUGUGCCCUGUAUAAAAACAAACUCCAUAGUCUGGUAUUAACAACAACCCGUAAUGUGAGUGUGUCUGAAGCAUGUCUCUCUUCGAGUGAUGGUAUGAUUCAUAGAAUGAAACCUCUUUGUGAUGAAGAUUCGCAAAUUCUCUUUCAUAGAAGAAUAUUUCAAAGUGGGGAGAAAUGUCCAAAAGAUUUACAGGUAGUAUCAAGAGAUAUCUUGAAGAAAUGUGGUGGUGUACCAUUAGCCAUCAUUACAAUAGCUAGCGUCCUGGUUAGUAACCAAAGGAUAAAGGAAAAAGGUGAAUGGAUGCAUGUGCACAAUUUGAUGGGCCAUGGAGUUACACAAGGUGGUAUCGUGAAGGACAUGAAGAGGAUAUUAUCACUCAGCUAUUAUGAUUUGCCUUUUCAUCUGAAGACUUGUUUACUAUAUCUAAGUAUUUUUCCCGAGGACUGCGAGAUUAAGAAAGAUUGGUUGAUAUGA